GCGAGCCCACCUCCCACCCGUGUUUACUGUACCUUAGUUGCUUCGGCGGGCCCGCCAUUCAUGGCCGCCGGGGGCUCUCAGCCCCGGGCCCGCGCCCGCCGGAGACACCACGAACUCUGUCUGAUCUAGUGAAGUCUGAGUUGAUUGUAUCGCAAUCAGUUAAAACUUUCAACAAUGGAUCUCUUGGUUCCGGCAUCGAUGAAGAACGCAGCGAAAUGCGAUAACUAGUGUGAAUUGCAGAAUUCCGUGAAUCAUCGAGUCUUUGAACGCACAUUGCGCCCCCUGGUAUUCCGGGGGGCAUGCCUGUCCGAGCGUCAUUGCUGCCCAUCAAGCACGGCUUGUGUGUUGGGUCGUCGUCCCCUCUCCGGGGGGGACGGGCCCCAAAGGCAGCGGCGGCACCGCGUCCGAUCCUCGAGCGUAUGGGGCUUUGUCACCCGCUCUGUAGGCCCGGCCGGCGCUUGCCGAACGCAAAUCAAUCUUUUUCCAGGUUGACCUCGGAUCAGGUAGGGAUACCCGCUGAACUUAAGCAUAUC
rnacentral:rRNA from 1 species